rnacentral:lncRNA from 1 species
AGACCUGUCUUGAGCCCUGGAACAAAGCCCAGUUAGCUAUAGGGCCAGCGGAGCGCCAGUGACGGUGAAUUUAAGUGCAUCUAUUUUAGGAUUCCUAUGGGUUUUAGCAAAAUUGGGGCUUUUCCUGGCCAAAUUGGCCUUGGUCACAAUCAAAGUUACUCUACUCAUUGAGAUCUUCAUUUCUGCAAAAUUGGGGCUUUUCUGGCGAGUCGAGACGG